GACGUAGGGCGCGAGCGUUGUCCGGAUUUAUUGGGCGUAAAGAGCUCGUAGGCGGCUUGUUGCGUCGACCGUGAAAACCCGGGGCUCAACUUCGGGCUUGCGGUCGAUACGGGCGGGCUAGAGUUCGGUAGGGGAGACUGGAAUUCCUGGUGUAGCGGUGAAAUGCGCAGAUAUCGGGAGGAACACCAGUAGCGAAGGCGACACUCUGGGCCGGUACUGACGCUGAGGAGCGAAAGCGUGGGGAGCAAACAGG
rnacentral:rRNA from 1 species